AGAAUAUAACUAACCACUGUUCCAGAAAUCCUAUAACAGCCUCCAUCUUCAAAAAUGCUCACCCUCCCAGUGUUCCUGUCAAGGUGGCCGUUGUGGAGAAAGGGGACAGAAUACCCGGCUGGAGAGGGAGACCAUCCUGGCUGUGCUGUAGGCAUCGUCAAGAGAUGCCUGCCUACAGAGGUGGCAGCAGAAGGAGUGCUGCACGUUGAUGGAGUCAUGAUCUUGUUGCUCAGUGAGGAUCACCACCGGCGUCUUACAGACUGUGGAGGCAGCAGCAUGCCCCCGACUUCCCAGGGCAACGUCUCUGACCCUGAGAUGAAGAUGCUUUUGAAUCCUGACAGAACUGGUGCCCCAGACACAGCAUCACCUUCACAGAAAGCAAGCAGCUUGCAAAGUCUGGGCAGGCCAUUGCCCUGUGGCUCAUUGGUGCCAGUGGAGUCCUUCAAAGUCAGCCUUGGCAAAACAGAUGCUUUCAUAUGUAAGUAUAAGAAGGCAUCCGCUUCGGGACUGUCCCCAUCCCGAUGCCAUGAGCCAGGUGCACAUCCUGAGGUGGCAGCCAUGCAAGGAUCCCCUGGUCUCCAGGAUUCCAUAUGCCCCGGAGCUCCAAGCGCACAGCCUCUACCGGUGGGCAUGGCCAAGAACACAGCAGUCCGAUGAGGCGCCCUGCUUUGUCCUCUCCAGUAUUCAGCUCUUAAAGAACAGCGGAUUAAGAUGUUGGAAAGACUUGAUGUAAAAAGUACUUCUUCCCAAAAGUCUGACUUGAGGAAACCUUUAUGUGUAACUUUUUUAUAUAUUAAACUUCAUCUU
rnacentral:lncRNA from 1 species